rnacentral:rRNA from 1 species
GGUUAAGCGACUAAGCGUACACGGUGGAUGCCCUGGCAGUCAGAGGCGAUGAAGGACGUGCUAAUCUGCGAUAAGCGCCGGUAAGGUGAUAUGAACCGUUAUAACCGGCGAUUUCCGAAUGGGGAAACCCAGUGUGAUUCGUCACACUAUCAUUAACUGAAUCCAUAGGUUAAUGAGGCGAACCGGGGGAACUGAAACAUCUAAGUACCCCGAGGAAAAGAAAUCAACCGAGAUUCCCCCAGUAGCGGCGAGCGAACGGGGAGGAGCCCAGAGCCUGAAUCAGCAUAUGUGUUAGUGGAAGCGUCUGGAAAGGCGCGCGAUACAGGGUGACAGCCCCGUACACAAAAGCGCAUGUGCUGUGAGUUCGAUGAGUAGGGCGGGACACGUGGUAUCCUGUCUGAAUAUGGGGGGACCAUCCUCCAAGGCUAAAUACUCCUGACUGACCGAUAGUGAACCAGUACCGUGAGGGAAAGGCGAAAAGAACCCCGGCGAGGGGAGUGAAAAAGAACCUGAAACCGUGUACGUACAAGCAGUGGGAGCACCCUUUGGGGUGUGACUGCGUACCUUUUGUAUAAUGGGUCAGCGACUUAUAUUCUGUAGCAAGGUUAACCG